ensembl:lncRNA
CGUCCCUCUGACGAUCCCCCUUUAGAGAUCUCGGAAACUUGCUAAGUGUUACUGUACAAAUGUAAUGCAGCUAUCCUGGGAGUUCAGCGAGAGCAGAAAUUGUCUGGGCGCGUGAUUUCUGCUCGUUUUGUUACGUUUCGGACUACUAGGUUUGCAGCCCUAGUGUUAUGUAAGGAGAGGUUGCAGUCCUCUGAACUAGCACCAAGUGGAUUUUCUUUCUCUGCCUCCCACCUCCCAAACCCCGGACUCUCUCGCACCUGCUUCUGCUGGUUGAAAACACAAGCGAAAACGAAUGUCCAGUCCCGGGUGCUAAAUGCUCCCGCCAGCUGUUCGGAGGACUCCAGAAACGCGCAUUGGGCGAGUUUAGAAGCGCUGUGGUUGGCUGCCUCCAAGAAAGCAGUUGACGAUGUUAAAAGAUAGACUUUGUGAAUUUUGUGCAGGGGAUUUACAGCGACAAAUGCCCUCUUACCCCGUCUUUUCCCCUCAGUUUUAGCAUCCUCCAGAUAAGCAGGAUUUUGCUUAUGAUAGGUGUUUAUGGUUCCAGGAAUUGCACUUUGAUCUAGGAUUUUGGGGGCGGAGUGUCUAAGGGGUCUCUAGACGCUUGUCUGAUUUGAAUGCUUUUCAGGAUGAUUUAUGGCAAAAGGCUCCUUUCUGACGCUUCCAGAUGCCAAAGCUCUUACCUUCCAGACAGGGGUGAGCGAAAUCUGCUUCCAAUAGCCGCGCGGAUGGAAGCCCGCGCGCCUACCGCGCCCGGCUGCCGGCUGCCGGUCACCCUAAACCGACUGUGUGCACCAGCCUUCUCCCGGACCCGCAGAUAACCUUUCCCCGCCUUCCUACUAAGGAGGAGGGAGGGAUCUUCUUUUUUACGAUGACAAACCUACGGAGGGAAACCAAGUCACCCCUCCUGUAAAGUUAGUCUCUUGCAGUUAACUCUGUUUUUUGCAAUUAACCACCUGCUACUGCCCCGUUGGUGGUUUGGUGUUAAUGCGAUUUGACCCCACACGUGAAGCGGGGCGGGAAUAAGCCCUCCGUUGGGACCCCUGGUGGUUUCACCCUCCGGCCUCAGCCUUCUGGCCGCGGCUGAGAUUCGCUCUCCUGGUUCCCGCGGGGCGGAGGCCCGGGCGGCGCUCAGAAGCUGCCGGGGCGUCGCGGGGUAGGAGGCGAUGUCUUCUCGAAAGCUCCCUGCAGUCUCUGGGCCGCGAGGCGAGGCCAGGAAAAAUAACCCUCCCGACUCAAUUACUGAACUGGCAACCCACUCCAGUGUUCUUGCCUGGAGAAUCCCAGGGACAGAGGAGCCUAAUGGGCUGCCAUCUAUGGGGUCUCACCGAGUCAGACACGACUGAAGCGAUGCAGCAGCAGCAGCAGCAGCAGCAGCAGCAG